rnacentral:lncRNA from 1 species
GUGGCCACGGGCUGUGGGUCACGGCCGUGCCCGUGGUGAUGCUCGUCACCAACCCGCGUCGCCGGCGUCGGGGAGCUCCAUCCCACCCACGGUGCCGGCGUCGGGGCUGGCGCCGCGCUGGCUUUCUCCUGUAUCCUUUGUGGGGUUGUUCUUAACUUUCCGUUUGCCUUUGGGGUCAGCUCCUUCCCCGCCCCAUGGGAAGGCUGUGGGGUGAAGCGGUGGGGCACGAAGCACGGGGCCGUACGAAGCGUCUCUCUGAAGGCAUCUCCAAGGAGGUAAGGCAGGACGGACGCGGCCCCACGGUGGCUUUGGGGGAUCCCGUUGACUCUCACACCGAAGCGGACGACUCGGCGUUGCAGCAUUGGGGGGUUCGGGGGGGGACGGGGCCACCCGGGCACCUCGAGGGAUGGGGACCCAACAGUCAGUGGGGUGGGGGCCACGGGAGACUUGUAGGGCCCCCACCGUGUGUGGCCACCAAAGGGACCGCAAAGGCCACCACGAUUCAUGCGUGGCUGUCAGUAGGGCAGAAGGACAUGGAGUGGUCGCCAAAGUCAGUGCAUGGUGGUCUUUGGGAUCAGUGGGACCAUGGAAGGGUGGAAGGGGUCACGCGUGGGGGUCUGUAGGGCCAGGAGGACAUGGGGAGCUCGCCAUAAUCAAUGCAUGGUGGUCUUUGGAUCAGUGGGACCAUGUAGGGUGGAAGGGGUCAUGAGUGGCUGUCAGUAGGGCCAGAAGGACAUGGAGAGCUCGCCAUAAUCAAUGCAUGGUGGUCUUUGGGAUCAGAGGGACCAUGGAAGGGUGGAAGGGGCCAUGCAUGGGGGUCUGUAGGGCCAGAAGGACAUGGGGAGCUCGCCAUAAUUAAUGCAUGGUGGUCUUUGGGAUCAGUGGGACCAUGGAAGGGUGGAAGGGGUCAUGCAUGACUCUCAGUAGGGCCAGAAGGACAUGGAAGGCUCAGCAAAGUCCAUGUAUGGUGGGCUGUGGGAUCAGAUGGACCAUGUAGGGUGGAAGGGGUCAUGCAUGGGGG